rnacentral:lncRNA from 1 species
GAGCAGCAACUUGGAGGGAGGAACCCCUAUAGAGUUCCAAGGAGGCCGAUCCCCUAAAGAGAUCAACCCCAAGUUUAGAAUCUGCAAGGGUUCUAACACCUGGUAUCAGAGCAGCGUUCUUGGCAUCUCGCUGCCCUUCCAUUGCCAUCCAUCAGCCCUCCACAACCUCCCAAAGCAAUUCCCACAAUUGCUUAAAAGAUCGUCGCCGAAUUCUGCCAUCAUCUCCACCACCGUAGAUCAUCCUUUGAUCUCCCCGUGAAUUGCAACAGGUUCUGGCNNNNNNNNNNNNNNNNNNNNUAUAGAGUUCCAAGGAGGCCGAUCCCCUAAUGCGAUUAACCCCAAGUUUAGAAUCCGCAAGGGUUCUAACACCUGGUAUCAGAGCAGCGUUCUUGGCAUCUCGCUGCCCUUCCAUAGCCAUCCAUCAACCCUCCACAACCGCCCAAAGCAAUUCCCACAAUUGCUUAAAAGAUCGUCGCCAAAUUCCACCAUCAUCUCCACCACCGCAGAUCAUCCUUUGAUCUCCCCGUGAAUUGCAACAGGUUCUGGUUUUCUACCUUACUACUGUUGCAAUUUAGUUAUCCCUAUUU